rnacentral:rRNA from 1 species
UACAGAGGUGGCAAGCGUUGUUCGGAAUUACUGGGCGUAAAGGGCGCGUAGGUGGCCUUUUGAGUCAGACGUGAAAUCCCCCGGCUUAACCUGGGAACUGCGUCUGAUACUGGAAGGCUUGAGUUCGGGAGAGGGAUGUGGAAUUCCAGGUGUAGCGGUGAAAUGCAUAGAUAUCUGGAGGAACACCGGUGGCGAAGGCGGCAUCCUGGACCGAAACUGACACUGAGGCGCGAAAGCCAGGGGAGCAAACGGG